UGUUUGGAGCAGUUUGUGAACAGUGUUUUCUGUUGGAGAUGGUAAGUCCCUUUGGAGGGGGACUUUGGGCUUUUUCACUUUGUAAACCUAUAACAUGCACAAAAAAGAUAUAUAACACAAUAAAGGAAAUGGAAAAAGCUAAAAAGCAUAAUAUUAGCACUUUAAAAGAAAUAUAGGCUGUGUUAGAGUGAUGC